rnacentral:rRNA from 1 species
UGAACGCUAGCGACAGGCCUAACACAUGCAAGUCAGGGGCAGCACAAGGAGCAAUCUGAGUGGGCGACCGGCGCACGGGUGAGUAACACGUAUGCAACCUGCCUGUAAGCGGGGAAUAACCCGUUGAAAGACGGACUAAUACCGCAUAAUACUAAAUUACUGCAUGGUAAUUUAUUUAAACAUUUAUGGCUUACAGAUGGGCAUGCGCAUGAUUAGCUAGUUGGAGAGGUAACGGCUCCCCAAGGCAACGAUCAUUAGGGGUUCUGAGAGGAAGGUCCCCCACACUGGUACUGAGACACGGACCAGACUCCUACGGGAGGCAGCAGUGAGGAAUAUUGGUCAAUGGACGAGAGUCUGAACCAGCCAAGUCGCGUGCAGGAAGAAUGUCCUUAAUGGAUUGUAAACUGCUUUUGCAGGGGAAUAAAGUGCAUCACGUGUGAUGUUUUGUAUGUACUCUGCGAAUAAGGAUCGGCUAACUCCGUGCCAGCCGCUGC